AAAAAAAAAGGAUGAAGGGGGCUUGCUCCUGGAUUCAGCGGCGGACGGGCGAGUAAUGCCUAGGAAUCUGCCCGGUAGUGGGGGAUAACGUCCGGAAACGGGCGCUAAUACCGCAUACGUCCCGAGGGAGAAAGCUGUGGAUCUUCGGACCUCACGCUAUCAUAUGAGCCUAGGUCAGAUUAGCCAGCUGGUGGGGUAAAGUCCUACCAAGGCGACGAUCCGUAACUGGUCUGAGAGGAUGAUCAGUCAAAGUGGAACUGAGCGACGGUCAGGGCUCCUACGGGAGGCAGCAGUGGGGAAUAUUGGACGAUGGGCAAAAGCAUGAUCCAACCAUGACGAGUGUGUGAUGACGAUCUUCGGAUUGUAAAGCACUUUAGGUUGGGAGGAAGGGCAGUAAGUUAAUACCGUGCUGUUUUGACGUUACCAACAGCAUAAGCGCCGGCUAACUUCGUG
rnacentral:rRNA from 1 species